ensembl:lncRNA
GGGUAGAAGGGAUCACCCCCUCAAGAGGAUGAGUGACAAGGCCAUCUUAGAAGGAUCAUCCUGGCUGCAGUGUGGGGAAUGUGUUGGAUGUUGGGUGCACCUGGCCUGAGAACACAGAUCCCUCAGUCCAGAGGCAGCAAGACAGAAGUCACAUCUAGUUUGAGCCUUACCUCCAGGGGGAAUGGUCACCUCCUUGAUGUGGAUGGGACUCCAGGAACUAGGGUGGCCAUUUCAUGACCGCUCUCAUCCAGACCCAUGACGUGCGUGCUAUGUGUCGAUGCUACCAAAAUAUGUGUCUCCAGCCCAGAACUCUCUUCGGAGCCCCAGUCUCAUAUACAACGGCCUGUUGACCCUCUCAAUCCAAUCAUUGCCCAGGCUUUUCAAACUUGCCUUCUUAGCCAAACUUGAUCUUUCCCCUCAAUCUGAACCUUCUGCAGGCUUUACCACCUUAGUCAAGGACUCUUUCAUUCCUGCAUACCCGAGGCAAAGAUGGAGGUGUCAUCACUAAUGCUUCAACAACCAC